GGGGCCUUAGCUCAGCUGGGAGAGCGCCUGCUUUGCACGCAGGAGGUCAGGAGUUCGAUCCUCCUAGGCUCCACCA
rnacentral:tRNA from 17 species